AACGGCUGCAAAGCCGAUGGCGUGGAUCAAAUCCACUCGCACAAUCUCAUGUCAACCUUGAUCCUUACAGAGUCUUUCAGACAUUGCUCAAUUGUUUAGACAUGGGCUCAGCAUGAUACGUUCAAUUGAAGGAUCAUUUACUAUCCUUUCAAAAUAUAUGUUUCAAAUACAUGUCAAUGGCGUGAUAAACAAGGAGAUGGGAAGCCAAAACUUUAAGAGAUCAAUUAAAUAAUGAUUGAAUUCGUAGGCUUGGUACGAAUCUAUUUGAUUUCUACAA
rnacentral:lncRNA from 1 species